GGAGGUAUAGCUCUGUGGUAGAGUGUGUGCUUAGCAUGCACAAGGUCCUGGGUUCAAUCCCCAGUACCUCCA
rnacentral:tRNA from 1 species